rnacentral:lncRNA from 1 species
AAAAAUAUCACAGAUGUAUUCCUAUGGUUCAAGAUUCUUACUUCACUCAAAGCUAAUCACUUGCCCAACCUCACCUACUACUAUGCAUGGAAAACAGAGUCCUGUGUUGCCAACAUUGGGAAAAUGUUCCUUCCGAGGUGCUCUGCAAGCCUUCUGUUUACCACGAACUUGCUUAAACACAUUCAAAAUUUCAUACUCAAGAUUUUUCUCAAAGCAGAGAAAAUCUGUUAGUAGCAGAAUUAGAAUUGUCAUGAAUGAUAUGUUGUUAUUAUAGUGUACAAUAUGAAGAUUUUUUCUUCUGAAAAUACCAUGUAAU